GCUUUUUCAUUUUCUCUCUCUCCAUGAAAGGUCAGCAAGAAAAGUCUUAGGAUGGAUAUUCCAACUCCGUUACUCCAACAAGAGGAAGAAACCACACAUCCUUUUCUUUAAUAAUGAGGAAAUGACAAAUUCUAAUACUAUUUCUCAGAUAAGUUAGGACUAUGGUGAAAGAAGAACCGAAGAGGAGGACGAAGAAAACGGGGGCGCCAUGUCAUGCAGCCAGAUCCCAGGGCUGAAUUUCCAAGCCCUGAAUCUGACUUCAUAACAUAAACAUGCGAGCACCUGGCGGGAGAAGAUAAAAUGAGCCUGGGAACUCAGGGGUGAAAGUAUAAACAAUUAUAAUUGCUGUAGUGUGGGGGGGGAUAGAAACCUUGGUGGAAAUGUGAUCCAGAAGGUGGGGUUUGAUGAUGAUAUUUGCGUGUGAUAUUACGUUGCAUCAGAAGUGAUAAAAUUAGAUGUAUGUAAACAUUAGGUCAUUCUCGACUUUUCCAAAGUCAUGUAUUCUUCAAUAAAGAUUGUGUUUGAGAGCAGC